UACGAACAUCUCUUUUACUCUUUUUUUUUUAUAGUUAUGAACCAAAAAGAUGUAAUCUAUAUAUAUAUAUGUUGUUUGACAGGACGUCGACAGCAGUUAAAUCGUUUUUACAGAGUCCAGUUCCGGCAACAACAGCAUCGCGAAAAGUCUUGAAUGCUGUAUCUACUACCACAACAACAACAAGUAGUAACAUUAACAAAACACCACUUCGAAUGAGACGGCAAAAGGAAAUCAGUGAUAAUAAACCGAAUUUGAAAAGAAAAUAAAAAAUGAAGCAAGUUAUUUAUGUUUAGCAAAUUAUUAAUGUUUUUUCUUAACAGGAAGGAUGUGUAUAGAUGUUUGAACAUAUCGUGGUUAAUAUUAGGAUAGAAAAUCGAUUCAUUCAAAUCGUAACAAUAUAACAAGACAUAACCUGUAGUUUCAGAUGCGGAACGUGAGUCACGAGUUCAGGCGAGUCGCGAGUCACGGAUGUCGGAGUCGUGGAACCGCGAUUCCGCGAUGAGGAACCGCGAUUACCAACCUUCACUCGCGUGCAUACUCGUGUGCAUAAUAAAUUAAUUCUUUUCU
rnacentral:lncRNA from 1 species